rnacentral:pre_miRNA from 1 species
CUGAUCAUCAAGUUGGCUGUGGUCUGUGCCUUGUCGACUCGUUCAUAUCACAGCCAUCUUUGAUGACUUAGG